rnacentral:rRNA from 1 species
GACGAACGCUGGCGGCGUGCCUAAUACAUGCAAGUAGAACGCAGUUGCGAACGGGUGUGUAACGCGUAGGUAACUGCCCCAUAGCGGGGGACAACCAUUGGAAACGAUAGCUAAUACCGCAUACUGUGAGAUGGACCUGCGUUGUAUUAGCUAGUUGGUGAGGUAAAGGCUCACCAAGGCGACGAUACAUAGCCGACCUGAGAGGGUGGUCGGACACACUGGGACUGAGACACGGACCCGACUCCUACGGGAGGCAGCAGGAGGGAGAGUUGGGUAAUGGACAGAGGUUUGGCCGAGCGACGCGGCGUAAGUGAAGGAGGUUUUCGGAUCGUAAGGCUCGGUUGUUGGGGGAGCGGUGACUAACCAGGGGGGGGCGGCUAACUCCGUGCCAGCAGCCGCGGUAAUAC